GGGGAAUAUUGGACAAUGGGCGAAAGCCUGAUCCAGCCAUGCCGCGUGUGUGAAGAAGGCCCUCGGGUCGUAAAGCACUUUAAGUUGGGAGGAAGGGCUUACAGCGAAUACCUGUGAGUUUUGACGUUACCGACAGAAUAAGCACCGGCUAACUUCGUGCCAGCAGCCGCGGUAAUACGAAGGGUGCAAGCGUUAAUCGGAAUUACUGGGCGUAAAGCGCGCGUAGGUGGCUUGAUAAGUUGGAUGUGAAAUCCCCGGGCUCAACCUGGGAACUGCAUCCAAAACUGUCUGGCUAGAGUGUGGUAGAGGGUAGUGGAAUUUCCAGUGUAGCGGUGAAAUGCGUAGAUAUUGGAAGGAACACCAGUGGCGAAGGCGACUACCUGGACUAACACUGACACUGAGGUGCGAAAGCGUGGGGAGCAAAC
rnacentral:rRNA from 1 species